UCCGUAGGCGGGCAAUUAAGUCAGAGGUGAAAUCCCACAGCUCAACUGUGGAACUGCCUUUGAUACUGGCUGUCUUGAGUUACAGUGAAGUAGAUAGAAUAUGUAGUGUAGCGGUGAAAUGCAUAGAUAUUACAUAGAAUACCGAUUGCGAAGGCAGUCUACUAACUGUAUACUGACGCUAAUGGACGAAAGCGUGGGGAGCGAACAGGAUUAGAUACCCUGGUAGUCC
rnacentral:rRNA from 1 species